rnacentral:rRNA from 1 species
AUGGAUGUAGAAGGAGCAGCAGGCAGGGGUCCCGUCUUCCCGGUGCCGCAGCGGCGGGCCCCGGCGACGGCGCUGCUGUUCCCGCCGCCACAGACACCAUUCACACCUUACUACUACUCGUCGUCUUCAUCGUCUUCUCCGGCGACGCCGUCCCGCCUGACGCACCACGUGACGCUGAGCCUCACCAGCCUGCCCAUCCUGGUGCUCACCGUGCUCGGCAUCCUCACCACCUCCGCGCUGCUCCUCACCUACUACGUCUUCGUCAUCCGCUGCUGCCUCACCUGGCACGCCACCACCUCCGACCACGACUCCGGCGCGCCCAGAAGCCUCGUCAUCUCCCUCACCCGCCGCCGCCAUCGCCGCAACAACACCGCCUCCGACCACGAGCUCCCCGUGGUGCACGGGCCCGCGCCCGACGAGCCACGCGCCGGGCUGGGAGAGCCGGCCAUCCGGGCGCUGCCGGCGUUCAGGUACAGCAAAGCCGCCAAGGACGACGCGAGCGAGUGCGCCGUGUGCCUCGGCGAGUUCCAGGAGGGGGAAAGGGUGAGGCUCCUGCCGGGCUGCCUCCAUGUCUUCCACGCCGAGUGCAUCGACACUUGGCUCCACGACUGCGCCAACUGCCCGCUCUGCCGGGCAGCCAUCACCGGCACCACCGGCAAACAAGCUCCGUUGGUAAUGGACCGGCCGCCGAGAAGCGAGGAGGUGGUCAUCCAGGUGCAGGCUGCCGGCACAGGAGAAGAAGAAGACACAGUGACACGGCAGCAAGAAGACGGCGCGGCGGCCUCGAAGAGCAGCGCUCACUUCCAUGGAGAAUGCAGCGGCGGCAGCAGCAAUGAAGAAGCACAUUGUAGUAGGUAG